CCAAGACCUAUCGGUACAAACAUGGAUGUUAGCUCCGGUAUUUAACCACCACUCUGAAUUUAAGUAGAUUAAAUUGACAGAUGGAAUAAAAAUAACUGACAUAAAGGAAGAUGGUUAUCCUUCUAUCACAUUGGCCUGAGGUUUAGGUUGAUUUUGGCUCUUUAUAUUCUUCUUUUUAUAAAAAAUCUUUUAUUUUUUUGGUAGAAAUAUUUAGAUGCA
rnacentral:lncRNA from 1 species